rnacentral:rRNA from 1 species
GCAGUCUAUGCCCACCCUCGUGGGCAUGGCGUACGGCUCAGUAACACGUAGCUAACCUGCCCUAGAGAGGGGGAUAUCCUCGGGAAACUGAGGGUAAACCCCCAUAGGUAACGAGUUCUGGAAUGACUCGUUACCGAAAGUAGGCUAGGAGAAUGGUCCUAGCCUAGCUCUAGGAUGGGGCUGCGGCCGAUCAGGUAGUUGGUGAGGUAACGGCUCACCAAGCCUGUGACCGGUGCGGGCCGUGAGAGCGGGAGCCCGGAGAUGGACUCUGAGACAAGAGUCCAGGCCCUACGGGGCGCAGCAGGCGCGAAACCUCCGCAAUGCGCGCAAGCGCGACGGGGUCACCCCGAGUGCCACCUUUAUGGUGGCUUUUGCCUAGUGUAAAAAGCUAGGCGAAUAAGGGGGGGGCAAGACGGGUGUCAGCCGCCGCGGUAAUACCCGCUCCCCGAGUGGUGGGGACUUUUAUUGGGCUUAAAGCGUCCGUAGCGGGCCUAGCAAGUUUCCCGUUAAAUCCAGUGGCCUAACCACUGGCCUGCGGGAAAUACUGCUAGGCUUGGGGGUGGAAGAAGCCACCGGUACUCCUAGGGUAGGGGUAAAAUCCUCUGAUCCUAGGAGGACCACCAGUGGCGAAGGCGGGUGGCUAGGACACGCCCGACCG